UACAGAGGGUGCGAGCGUUGUUCGGAAUUAUUGGGCGUAAAGGGCGCGUAGGCGGCCGAUUAAGUCGGGGGUGAAAGCCUGUGGCUCAACCACAGAAUUGCCUUCGAUACUGGUUGGCUUGAGACCGGAAGAGGACAGCGGAACUGCGAGUGUAGAGGUGAAAUUCGUAGAUAUUCGCAAGAACACCAGUGGCGAAGGCGGCUGUCUGGUCCGGUUCUGACGCUGAGGCGCGAAAGCGUGGGGAGCAAACAGG
rnacentral:rRNA from 1 species